CCAAGCAUCAUGGUGGAAGGUGUCCAUUCCAAAUAUCAGGGGUGCGCUGUGGGAAAGUCCGCCAGGAUCUGGAAAUUGGGCUGGAUGCUGCGCUCCCCAGACUACCUUCUCACUGCAGAUCUGGAAAGAGAAUUCAGCCAUCACAUACGGGAGAAGUACAACGCACACAGCUUAUCCAAGUUUAACUAGGACUUGCCUUGACUAAGGAGGAGUAAAGAAAAACCCAGAUAUAUUUAUUAAAGCUGAAUUGCAUGGAGUGUUGCCCAGCGUGAGCUACUAUGCCAGGCAUGUUAGACAGAGCAGCAUAUUUAUUCCUUCUAAGAACCUGGUGAUGUAAGCGUUCUGCUUGUCCUUUUUAUAGAUGAGGAAACUGAGACUUAGAAAAAAAAAAAAAAACACCACAUAUCCUUACCUACUAAGCAGCAGAGUUGAGCUUUGAACCUUUAUCCCAGAAAAAGAAAUAAAAGGAAAAGAAGAACACCAUUUGGAAGAGUCCAAGAAAUCCCUGAGAAUAACCUGUUGCAGAAUUCAAAAGAAAACUGCUUCUUUAGUUGGCUGCAAGAACGCAUGGGCCCAGUGGCUGGACAGAGAAGUCAUAACAAUAGUCAAGAUGAAAUUUUAAGAGUAAAAAGGAAAUAGAACAAAAGGACACAAAGCGAACCGGAAUAAACCAUCCAACUUCUUAUAUGCAUUUUGCAUCGAUUUCUAGACGAUUAGUCUGCCAUUGUUCUGUCUAUCCCAGUGGGAGUACCACAUUCUUUAUUGUAACUUUGUAAUACAUCAAUAUCUGGUUGGGCAAGAUUUUCUUCACUAUUCUUCAGUAUGCAUUUAUGACUAGAAAGUAUUUCUCAGCAAAGUACAAUGAAAGGGAGCCUCUCUAUUCUGAUAAAAGAUCUCUAGCAGAAGCCAGCUGCAAGCAUCACGUUUAAUGGAAAUGUUUCAGAGCAUGCCCUUUAAAGUUAGGAAUAAAACAAGGAUGCAGGCUCUCAGGGCUGCUAUUCGGUGUUGUUGUAGAGGUCCUACCCGGUUAGACAAGAGAACUAAACAAUAGAAGGAUUUGAAAAAAUAUAUAAGUAAAACUGGCACCAGAUGCCCUGAUUAAAAGCACAGGCAUCUGGAGGGAAUCUACGAGAUUAACUACUAGAACCAAUAUGAGUGCUCACCAGCCUUCCUGAGCGCAAGACCAAAAUAUCAAAACCAGUUAGGUUCCUAUACAAUCAAGAAGCAUAACUUUUGAAAAGCUUCCAUUUACAAGAGCAACAUAAGGCUUCUUCUGACUGGUGGAGAAUGAACUUUAAGGGGCAAGAGGGGAAGCAGGGAGCCUGGUGAGGAGCUGUGAAGGUAGCCCAGGUGAGAGAGGUCAGUGGCUACAUUUGGAUGGUAGAUGUGGAGAUAGCAAGAAAUUGUAUCAAACACCAGUGAUUCAUGCAAAUAAUUUAAAUUGGCAUGAGUGCUAAAAAAAAAAAAAAGUUAAAAUGCU